rnacentral:rRNA from 1 species
GAUCUGGCUCAGGAUGAACGCUAGCGACAGGCCUAACACAUGCAAGUCGAGGGGCAGCGGAGAGGUAGCAAUACCUUUGCCGGCGACCGGCGCACGGGUGAGUAACACGUAUGCAAUCCACCUGUAACAGGGGGAUAACCCGGAGAAAUCCGGACUAAUACCCCAUAAUAUGGGCUCUCCGCAUGGAGGGUCCAUUAAAGAGAGCAAUUUUGGUUACAGACGAGCAUGCGCUCCAUUAG